UGAGAGUGUCUCAUCUAAAACUCCUUCUCCUACUUCUCAUCUUUGGAAGAGUCCAAAUCAAGAAGAAGGAGGUAUCUGAUCGACCAUCGAAGAAGGAUCGGUACAGUACUAGCAUACUUUGUUGAUUUCCUGGAUCAGGACUUCUGAUCGUGAUUCGUGAGCUCGUGUGGAUGACUCCUAGAGGCUGGACGUAUGUGCGGCUUGCAAC
rnacentral:lncRNA from 1 species